GCAGCAAGCUGUGUGUGUGUGUAGACAUGGAGUGCUACUUAGUGCCCUGAACAUGUAUAGGGGUGAGAUAUUUGCAUACCUCUUGUUCUUGCAACAAAGGCUGGCCAACAGACAGGUCACUUUUUUUUUUGUUUUUUGGAUGGAUGUAACAUGCAAGUACUGGCCAAAUCUUGAAAAAGUAAUGAAAAGCUGUCCUGAGCUCCAACACCUGCUUCAAAUGAAACCAUUUCUCUCGGUUUUCCAUGCCAAAGCCCAUUACUUUAAAUGUAAGGCUAAGUGGAGUGGAGCAUAUUAAGAUGGUGCUGGAUUGACUCUAGGGGAAGAAGUUGAGCAGUGCAAUGCAUUUCUCUCAAGGAUUGCUUGUCAAAAGCUGGCUGGACAGACAUGCUGACUCUUUUGGCCAUGUGCUAGAAUUAGCAAAAACUGGACAACUUGGCCACCUCACUAACCCAUUGAUAUCAGAAAGUAGUGAAAACAUUUGAUGUUU